AAGGACAGCCACGAGGAAGCAGGACUGGGCGGAGGGCAGGGCUGGACCACACUGCAGCCCCACUGACCAGGUGGGGUGGGGGUGGGGGCUCUGGAGCGGGGGCGGCCCCGCAGGGAGCCCCGAACCCACCCCGUGUGCUCCCAUCAACCAGUCCCGGCUGCUGCAAGGAGACAGUCGUCCCGAGGGCAAUGCCCGAGGAGGGGAUCAGCUAUGGGCAGGUGCGGGACGGGUGUCCGGGACCUGAGGGGACCCAGGGCAGCACAUCCCAGCAUCCACUACCGCCUACUCCUUAGACCGCGCCCCCCCUGCAUCCAUCGGUAGAGCAAGUCCCCCGCCGGCAACGCAUCCUCCCUGAUGCUGCGUGGUCCCCAAAUGAGUUUCUGGAGCUGCUGCAACAGAUUAGCUCACGCUGGGGGGCUUAAGGCAUGGGAGUUCUCCUCUCAUAGCCCUGGAGGCCAGAGGCCAGGGGGCCGAGGCAGGGAUGUGAGUGCUCCCUCCUGGGACAGCCAUACCUGGUGAGUAGCCCAGGCUUUGCAGGGAUGUGACCGUGUUGCUGAGUCCCACAGCGGCUCUGUGCCUGGAUUCAUCGGGGAGGCUAAGGGGCUGGGGAGGCAGGUGCAGCUACCAGCUGCCUCCCUCAGAGCUACCUGGUGUCGGGGGGCGUUGGAACUUGCUUUCUAGAAAACACCCCAUGACAGGGGGUCCAGUCUGUCUGGUCCUCCCAUCUCUCCUAGGUACCCAUCCACGGCUGGGGGUACGGAAGCCACAGGGGUCUGUGGGCCUCCUCCUGGACAUGUGUCCCUUCUAAGCAUUACCCGGAUUGUGGGGCCCCAGGAGCCCACUCUACAAGCAGACCUUGGUGGGUCCGUUUCGGGCAUGUGAUGGGGGUUGGGGUCUGUGUAGGAACCAGUAACUGCAUUUCAGACCGUAAGCCUCCCACCCUUUCGGGGACCCUGGGACCUCUUUGGGGCUGACCCAGAGGGUGCAGUCUGGCCCAGGGGCUUGAGGGCAGCGAUGCUAUUGGUAAGACUCUUAAAUCUGCAGAAUCCUUCAUCAGGGAGAAGAGGUGCAGAAGGCUGGGGAAGGGGAGAGGGAAGCUGCGGGCCAGAAGCGAGAGGGACCCAGUUCCGGCCUUGCUGAGCUGUCCCACCUGCAGGCACCUGAAGGCAGCCCCACGCACUAAACCUGCACUAAACCCGGAUCCAGUCUGUGGGUCUCACCCGCCCUGAAAGACCCCAUCCCCAUCCAUAGCAGAGAGGUGUGUACCCCACGCAAAAUGCAGAAGUGCCGGUUUGUUGGUCUCCACGCCUCUGCAAAGCCAAGGGUCCAGCUCCCCUGGAAAUACCAUAACCCCAGGGUCCCCCCAUCCCUUCCACGCUGCCCUGCUUCAGGCUGGCCGACUCCGUGACCCAAAAAGUUCACCCGUACAUAUCUCCCUGGCUCAGGGGGUCACGUCGCCCAGUUGAGCAGUCAAGACCAAGUCCUGGGGCCCAGGUCCAUCUAAAUGAAUCGUUUCACAGAACCUGGGGAUUUAUCAGCA
rnacentral:lncRNA from 1 species